GAUCCUGGCUCAGAAUCAACGCUGGCGGCGUGCCUAACACAUGCAAGUCGAACGCGGUUACCCCGCAAGGGGUAACUGAGUGGCGAACGGGUGAGUAACACGUGGGUGACCUACCUUCGAAUGGGGGAUAACGUCCCGAAAGGGACGCUAAUACCGCAUAACAUCCUGUCCUUGAACGGAUGGAGAUCAAAGCCGGGGAUCGCAAGACCUGGCGUUUGAAGAGGGGCCCGCGUCCGAUUAGCUAGUUGGUGAGGUAAUGGCUCACCAAGGCAACGAUCGGUAGCCGGCCUGAGAGGGCGGACGGCCACACUGGGACUGAGACACGGCCCAGACUCCUACGGGAGGCAGCAGUGGGGAAUUGUUCGCAAUGGGCGCAAGCCUGACGACGCAACGCCGCGUGGAGGAUGAAGGUCUUCGGAUUGUAAACUCCUGUUGCCCGGGACGAAUGGCUCCAACCUAAUACGUUGGAGUGUGACGGUACCGGGUGAGGAAGCCCCGGCUAACUCUGUGCCAGCAGCCGCGGUAAUACAGAGGGGGCAAGCGUUGUUCGGAAUUACUGGGCGUAAAGGGCGCGUAGGCGGCCUUCUAAGUCGGACGUGAAAUCCCCGGGCUCAACCCGGGAACUGCGUCCGAGACUGGAAGGCUCGAAUCCGGGAGAGGGAUGUGGAAUUCCAGGUGUAGCGGUGAAAU
rnacentral:rRNA from 1 species